AAGAGUUUGAUCCUGGCUCAGGAUGAACGCUGGCGGCGUGCCUAACACAUGCAAGUCGAACGAUGAAACCGCCCUCGGGCGGACAUGAAGUGGCGAACGGGUGAGUAACACGUGACCAACCUGCCCCCCUCUCCGGGACAACCUUGGGAAACCGAGGCUAAUACCGGAUACUCCCUCCCCUGCUCCUGCAGGGGUCGGGAAAGCCCAGGCGGAGGGGGAUGGGGUCGCGGCCCAUUAGGUAGUAGGCGGGGUAACGGCCCACCUAGCCCGCGAUGGGUAGCCGGGUUGAGAGACCGACCGGCCACAUUGGGACUGAGAUACGGCCCAGACUCCUACGGGAGGCAGCAGUGGGGAAUUUUGCGCAAUGGGGGCAACCCUGACGCAGCAACGCCGCGUGCGGGACGACGGCCUUCGGGUUGUAAACCGCUUUCAGCAGGGAAGAAAUUCGACGGUACCUGCAGAAGAAGCUCCGGCUAACUACGUGCCAGCAGCCGCGGUAAGAGACACU
rnacentral:rRNA from 1 species